rnacentral:lncRNA from 1 species
GUGCUCAGUCUAGACACAUUGAAGAAGUGUUUGCUGUUUGUGCCAUAUAUGAAGAAAAUAUUCAGUACCUUCGAUCACAACUGCAAUUUCUGACUUAAAAUGAAAUACAGAAGAAAUGAAAAGGAUAUAUCUAAAAUAGUCAAAUGCCUGCAUCAGUCAGAACUGCCAGUCUCACUGUCUAAUCAAUUGAAUAUUCUUUUAGAAACUGAAAGCUGGAUAUCAUUUUGGUAAGGAGGAGCUUAUGAAGACAGCAAGCUGGGUUAUCUUCCUGUGGUUAGGCGGAUGCUCAUUUCAACAAAACUGGCAAGACCUAACCACAGUGCUACAUCAAUACUGCCAUCUGGGACAACUUUUAAGCUAUUGUACUUAAACCUUGGAAAGAAACAAUUAUCCUGGUCCCAAAAGCUUGAAAUGGCAUUCGACGGUGUUCAAAUACACAAUCUCAUUUGAGCCUUACAAACGUCCCUCAGGUAUGUAUGUAAGGCGGACAUGGUUAUUUCCAUUUUCCAGAUAGAAUACUGAGGCCCCAAGACAUGAAGCAACUUACUAAGAUUAUCUUGUGA